rnacentral:lncRNA from 1 species
CCAGUGGGACAAAACAGGCCUAGACUGGGGUCACACACAGACCCCUGUACCAAAGUACACUCACCUGGUAAAAGGUGGUUCCAACACCUCUGGAGAAGUCAGCGUUGUCCCAAAAUACAGCGAUCAUGGGGACCUCUUCAUGGCCAUUGAAGCCACCGGGAGGAGGGUUGGGGGGAGGAAGCAUACUCAUUUCAACUCCAAAUGAGCUGACAGCCAGGGUGGUGCUGGCCCCCGCAGAUGAGAAAGUGGGAGUCUUGUCACAGUCAGAUGUCAUGGCCAUGGAGGUUGGAGUGGGUGUGGUGAUAGUGGGUCCCAGCCCUGCUGGGGUAGUGCUGGUAGUGAGUCCCAGUUGUGCUGGGGUAGUGCUGGUGAUAGCGGGUCCCAGUUGUGCUGGGGUGGUGCUGGUGGUACUGGGUCCCAGCUGUGCUGGGGUGGUGCUGGUGGUGGGUCCCAGCCCUGCUGGGGUGGUGCUGGUGGUACUGGGUCCCAGCUGUGCUGGGGUGGUGCUGGUGGUGGUGGGUCCCAGCUGUGCUGGGGUGGUGCUAGUGGUGGGUCCCAGUUGUGCUGGGGUGGUGCUGGUGGUGGUGGGUCCCAGCCCAGGCGACACACGAGUGCUGUGAGCUGUGCUGCCCCUUGCCUGUGGCAUGGUGAUGUUGGAGGCUGCCAGGCUGCUCUGCUGAGCUGUAGAAGCAUUGGGUGUGAAGGUAUCCAUUGGCAUCUCUGGACGAGAGAAAGGGAAGGUGGCUGCAGUGCUUGAGCUGGUGUUGGGCAGCAGUGCCACGGUCUCUGUGGGUGUCAAGGAGGUUGGGAGAGUCAGGGAUACAGUCAUAUCUUGGACAGUGUUCCCUGCAAAGAUGUGGGAAACAGCACACAAGGGCUGGCAGUGAAAGCCAGCACGGCUGUGCUGGGCAUGGUGCAAUAUUGCUACUGCUAUGAACUGCCCGAGUUUUGCAUCAGUCAUGGAUCAUCAGGAGUGGGGAUUCCCUGUCCUACAUGGAUCAAGCACGUGGAUUCCCUGAAUAGCACAUGACAAUCAUAAAUCCCCAGCCUGACAAAGCAGGAACAAGCCAUGGCCAUCGCUGGUUUCAGGGCAGAAACUCCUCUAGGCGCCAGUCCUAAGACCCAUUCCACCAUCUUCACCCAUCCCUGGAGGAAGUCAGACAAACCCGUCUGACAGGAAGAGCCAAGCAGGAACUGGUGACCGUGAGAUGGUCUGGAAAUGCAGCAGCAGCAGUUUAAACAAACCCUCUGUGCUCAGAUAGUCAGGAACUGAUAGCGGUGGGUGUAAAUAAUGGUAACGGGGGAAGCAGCCCCACAAAGGAACAAAUCCCAGCUUGCAGCUCAGGGCAAGUCCAUGAGAGACCUUUUGCAACCCACAAAAGCUCUGGGAGGGGG